CUCCACUUGUAGAUUCCAGCGAUCAAGUUGCACAAUUUCCCCUUCUUCUACAUGAGACAGGAUUUUUGACAACGGUUCAUCGGUAUAUCCCUGUGGGUUGAUAUGUCCUCUGUGAGAACUGAGACAAGAUUUCCCUGAGCAUCUGGGAAGAAGAAAAGGUUUGUGAACAUCUAGCAACCUGGUGAGGAACGUGACUCCCAAAGCUGGCAGAAGCAAGCAUUCACUUGACCUUUUCAGAGCCUCCACCCACUUUUCUCCAACUGAAAGCCCCAAAUCAGUUGUGCAUGUUGGGAGAAGAAGAAAAAAAAGAAAUUCACAGGACUUAACAAAUGAUUUCCUAAAUAAAUGCAAAUUGGAAACAACUUCCCAGAUAUGAAGAUGGAGGUGCCAUUCUCAAAAAAUGUGUGGGUCCCACCCAGGACAACCAGAUAUUGACAUCAUACAGUUAACUACAAUCUUUUAGACAAAGGUAAAUCAAUCAUAUAUGGUUCAUUUGCAUCUGACCUCCUACAGUCAAAGAUGCUGUCGUUGUUUUUGCCACAGUCCACAUGCAAGUAACUACACUGCUAAUUUCAUGAAAGAACUGGCCUUAUUUUAGAGCAUAAAUAGAUGCAAGACAAUAGCUUCAAACAAGCUUGGCUCAAAGGAAUUGUACUUUUUAUAUAAUAUAGCAUUUUAAAAAAGAUUUAAUAUGUGCAUUCAACAAAUAUAUUUUAAUUAUAUGUAGCAGAUGGAGAGGAUUGUUCUGUGCUAUUUUUAUUAGCAUACAGGAUAUGGCAUAGCCAGUCACAGACUGUCUCUUUUUAAUCCUUUCUCUUUAGUUUUUAAAAGCUGCCCUACAAAUUGAAUUUAUUCCAAACAUUUGGGAUACGUUCAAAGACACAUUUAAGCAUUCAAGUGACACUGUGCAACAUAUUAUCUGUUCCACUGAAAAAUUUCUGUUUUGGAAAUCAUUAUAAGUGAUCAUCGAAGCAAGUAAGCAAAUAAAAAUCUAAGGAGCAAUUCCAUGCAUGCUGAUUUGGGAGUUAAGAUUCGUUCUUAUUCUAUUCUUUAAUUCUCUGAACACUAUUAAAAUUAGACUUAAUACUGUACAAUUAAUACAUCCAAGUAAAGUGAUGAUGCUUAGUGUCCAAAUAAAAAGAAACCUGGUUGUUACAAAUUUCUUUGUAUGUCAUAAACAAAUGUGUUCUUUCCUUUGGUUCUAACAAGCAGUAAGAAAAAAAGAGGAUUCCAAACAGUUAACCUAAGCAUAGCUCAAAUAUAGUACAUUUACAUGUUUUAAUCACUUCUUAAAUUAAAGACUCCCCGCUUGAUUAACAAGCAAGUAAACAUUAAGAGUAUUUGAACAAGUUCUUAUAAUAUAAAUACUUGGAAAAUUUGCAAUGACUAAAUAUUUUAAACACCUCGACAGUCAUCCUCCAUGGGGUAGGGAGGAAAUAGGGCCCCAUAUGCACAUUUCCUAAAAAUCAAGUAAGUUUCUUGCUUUAGAACUGCUAUUGUUAUUUAUAUGCAACUUUAGUCGAUAGACGAAGACUUAUUCAAC